rnacentral:rRNA from 1 species
AUUGAACGCUGGCGGCAUGCUUUACACAUGCAAGUCGAACGGUAACAGGGUGCUUGCACCGCUGACGAGUGGCGAACGGGUGAGUAAUGCGUCGGAACGUGCCGAGUAGUGGGGGAUAACGCAGCGAAAGUUGUGCUAAUACCGCAUACGUACUGAGGUAGAAAGUGGGGGACCUUCGGGCCUCACGCUAUUCGAGCGGCCGACGUCUGAUUAGCUAGUAGGUGAGGUAAAGGCUCACCUAGGCGACGAUCAGUAGCGGGUCUGAGGGGAUGAUCCGCCACACUGGGACUGAGACACGGCCCAGACUCCUACGGGAGGCAGCAGUGGGGAAUUUUGGACAAUGGGCGAAAGCCUGAUCCAGCCAUGCCGCGUGUCUGAAGAAGGCCUUCGGGUUGUAAAGGACUUUUGUCAGGGAGGAAAUCCCUAGCGUUAAUACCGCUGGGGGAUGACAGUACCUGAAGAAUAAGCACCGGCUAACUACGUGCCAGCCGCCGCAGUAACAC